rnacentral:lncRNA from 1 species
GGAAACUAACUAUCGGAAGUUCAGGAAAACAAACCUCGAUGAUGGUCGCCCUACUCUCAGAGGGAAGACACCCAGGAUUCUACCUGCGUGAACUUGGGAUAUGAACCGAUCAUCUUAAUCGUAGCACUGGGUAACCUUGAUCGUCACCUAUUGACAAGUUUGGGUGCUGGAUAUGAGCUCCAAAAUGCGUCUGCUUCCUUUCAGUCGCUUCCCUUCCU